rnacentral:rRNA from 1 species
GCCAGACUCCUACGGGAGGCAGCAGUGGGGGAUAUUGCACAAUGGGCGCAAGCCUGAUGCAGCGACGCCGCGUGAGCGAAGAAGUAUUUCGGUAUGUAAAGCUCUAUCAGCAGGGAAGAAAAUGACGGUACCUGACUAAGAAGCUCCGGCUAAAUACGUGCCAGCAGCCGCGGUAAUACGUAUGGAGCAAGCGUUAUCCGGAUUUACUGGGUGUAAAGGGAGCGUAGGCGGCAUGGUAAGUCUGGAGUGAAAGCCCAAGGCCCAACCAUGGGACUGCUCUGGAAACUGUGUAGCUUGAGUGCAGGAGGGGUAAGCGGAAUUCCUAGUGUAGCGGUGAAAUGCGUAGAUAUUAGGAGGAACACCGGUGGCGAAGGCGGCUUACUGGACUGCAACUGACGUUGAGGCUCGAAGGCGUGGGGAGCAAACAGGAUUAGAUACCCGCGUAC